rnacentral:lncRNA from 1 species
CUGCAGGAGGAUGAUACAUAUGGUUCUAGUUUGAUUUUCAUACACUAUCAUAUUUUAUUAUACUAUUUUCAUAUAUACUAUUCAUAUUUAUCAUAUUUUAAGGGCCCUGUGCAAAAAUUUUAUACUCAAUCCCAUCAAAAUUUGCAAACAAGAUGCUCUGCUGGCAGCAUAAAUAAUAAAGAUUAACCAAACAAAUUCUGCCUUUGAGAAAAUUGUGACAGAGAAACAUAAACAACAUAUGCUGAAAAUAAGACAUUAAUAGGACAUAAAGUCCCAAAUAAGACUUACAUAGACAUUUGCGGAGUAAUGUUUGUUUUAAAAAAUCAUUUUUAUUCAAGUAUAACAUAGAGAAAGAAAAGUGUGUAUAUGUGUACAGCUCUCUGAAUUUUCACAAAAUAGACAGAUACUCUGAAUGGCUGACAGGAGCCUUUCAAUUCCUGCUGGAUGGAUGUCUUAAAAGUGGCUAUCAGAUUUCAUAACAUGUUAGUGACAGUUCACAAAGCCAGUGUUAUUCUUGUACUCUCACUCUGUACUCAGGAAGAAGCCUUCUCGUAUUGAUUGGGUUCCUCUGGUGAAAAUGUGCUAAGUAGCCAACAGAGAGCUGACCUUCUUAGCAGUAGUCAGCAUCUGCAUGCAAGCAGGCUGCAGGCACUGAGAUUAGAAAGCCCCAGGAGGCAGUGGCUCUGGGUCUUUUCAAAGAGGAAGAGGGCCAGAAAUUAAACCAGAACCUUAAUCCAGGGGAUUGGGACACCACAUAAGCAGGAGUCCAGUGCUAAGCAACAGACUUCCUGAGGCUGGCUGUUGGGAAUGAUUUGUCUUUGGUGUGAGGCUGGGUGGGCUUGACCCUCAGAGGCCAAGGCUGAGGAAGAGGAAAAUGGGAAAAUGAAUGGAAAGACAAGUAGUGACCAGAAAGCAGAGCUUUCCAGGCUAAAAAGUCAAGAGACCUGGAUUCUCAUUGCCUUCAGGGCAUUUUCUCACAAAGUCACAUAACCUUGACAGCCUCGGCUUACGCAUCUGUAAAAUGAACUACUUGAACCAGGUGAGUGCUGAAUCCUUUCCAUUGUUUGGAUUAUAUACAACAGAGGAGUCUCCUUUUCAUUGCAUUAUAUUCGAUAGAAUUUUAGUUUAGAAGUUUAAUUGAUAACAACAAGGUUCAACAUUUUAAAAACUAUAUUGAAACAUAGAGUGGGUCAGGUGUG